UCCUCCUCCGUUCAGUCCUGAUGAAACUCGUCCAGCCUGCUGAAGUCUCUCCUGUCUCGCUCGCUCCAGCAGCGUCUGAGCCACCUGAGGCUCCAUCCUGACAAUCACAGGUUACAGUCACGCUGGUGUAAAUAGAAACAGGAAGCGGCGUUCACCUGUCCAGCAGUGCCUGAGCCAGCUGGGGCUCCAGGAGGCCCCACCAGGCAGCUGGGGGUCUCCCCAUGUUCAGCCCCCGCCCCGUUUCAUCGUAGUCU